UUAUCGUAGUUUCAGAGGAGAUGGAAUGUAGAGACGUGUUUGUUGACAACUUAUGAGGACCGUCCCUGGACGAAGGUGAGAUUUUAACAGAAAACCAAGUGACUCAUGGCUUCUACAGUCAGCGUGUAGCAGUUAUCCAGAUCAGAUGACAUCAGUGGCGAAGUGGAUCAAAACUUCAAGCUAUUAUCUUUAGAAGGGCUGCAUGUUUUAUUUUGCAAUCCAGCUUUUGGGUGAACCAGGUAAAGAAAGCUCUUGAAUAAGCCAAGUUCAACAUUGAUAAAUUGAAUUCAGUCAUGCAAUCUAUUCUGCCAUGGUUGAUUUACACGAUGAAUAACAGAGCUCUCAGAUAACAUUUUUUUUAACAAAUACUGUUUUGAAUUUACUAGUUGUCAGCAAAUAAUUGUUAAAAUAUUCCUUAGCCCUGUUCAAAAGUCCUACUCGACCAACAGACUAUUUAACUAACUGACUGAUCAAUCGCCUGAUUGAUUUGCUGACUGAUUGACACACUGAUGGAUGGUCUAAUGGACUGACUGAUUGACAGACUGACAGACUGACAGACGAUGGAAGAACAGACGGACGGAGUGACUAACCAACUGACUGACUGAUUGAUUGAUUGAUUAAUUGACUUAGAAAUGGACUGACUAGUCAAUUGCCCGAUUGAUUGACUGACUGAUGGAUGAUCUAAUUUACUGACUGACUGACUGACUGAUGGACAGAAGAACAGAUGGAUGGAAGAACGGAAGGAGGGACUGACUAACCAACUGACUGACUGUCUGAUUGACUGACUUAAAAAUGGACUGACUGGUCAAUUGCCUGAUUGAUUGACUGACUGAUGGAUUGUCUAAUUUACUGACUGGCUAACUGAUUGUCAGACAGGCUGGCUGACUGGCUGACUAAUGGACUGACAGACUGACUGAAUGACUGGUGGAUGGUCUAAUUGACUGACUGCCUGACUAACUGUCUGACAGGCAGAUGAAAUGAUUAAAUUAUUGACUGAUUGGGACUGAUACUGACUGGCCAACUGACUGACUGACAGACAGACAGACUGAUCAACUGACUGACUGACUG